AUUGAACGCUGGCGGCAGGCUUAACACAUGCAAGUCGAGCGGGGAAGAGUAGCUUGCUACUUGACCUAGCGGCGGACGGGUGAGUAAUGCUUAGGAAUCUGCCUAUUAGUGGGGGACAACAUCUCGAAAGGGAUGCUAAUACCGCAUACGUCCUACGGGAGAAAGCAGGGGACCUUCGGGCCUUGCGCUAAUAGAUGAGCCUAGGUCGGAUUAGCUAGUUGGUGGGGUAAAGGCCUACCAAGGCGACGAUCUGUAGCGGGUCUGGGAGGAUGAUCCGGCACACUGGGCAUGAGACACGGCCCAGACUCCUACGGGAGGCAGCAGUGGGGAAUAUUGGACAAUGGGGGGAACCCUGAUCCAGCCAUGCCGCGUGUGUGAAGAAGGCCUUUUGGUUGUAAAGCGCUUUAAGCGAGGAGGAGGCUACCGAGAUUAAUACUCUUGGAUAGUGGACGUUACUCGCAGAAUAAGCACCGGCUAACUCUGUGCCAGCCGCCGCCGUAA
rnacentral:rRNA from 1 species